GAUGUGCAAUGGCUGUGAAUGCAGCAAUGCUGUCCUAAAAGCUGACCUGGCUCAGGAGUUGCUGUGGCCAAGGAUGGUACUUUGAUGUGACCAUAGAAUUCCAAAAGUUGUGAGGAUGCAGCGAUGACCACUCUGGAUAGAUGCGUCACCGCUUAGAAAGACAAUAAAGAAUGACCAGGCAAUACUCUUUGAAAAUUGGAGACCAUUUGCAGCUGCUCUCUGCUGAGGAAAGUGAAUAAUAGGGUGCCCUCAAGGAAUUUCAAAGAGAACAACAGGAUGAGAUGACAGCUUUUCUCAUGGCCCUGUUAAUAGUUUUUGCUAACAAGGAAAGGGGAAGGGAAUAAUUCUUUGCAAUAAUAUUGACUUCUUCUGUGAUCUCGGAACAUCUAAAGACUGAAGACAAUGACCUGAAAUGAACCUGUGUAUGAAAAAGAACACAGUGAUGGAGAUUUCUCUAAGUGCAUCAUGUUUUCUUGGCCACAAUAACCCAGAUGAGCUAAUGGAGCUGGAAUGAGAAGAAGAGAAUGAUUGCCUUCCUGCUUCCCCUCACCCUGCCACCCUAAGAAUUGUUCAAGGAAAUGUACUAUAGAAACUUUGCAGAGAGGUUUUUCUGAUGGUGAUGAAGGCAUCAAAGUCUGCUCCAAGGCUACCUCCCUUUCAGGGCUCUAAUGCAACUCACCAUUGAAUGAAAAUAAUUUCAGGAACAAUUAGACAAAAGAUGUGAAAUAGUAAUAGGGUAUUGAGGAAAGGAUCAACUGGAAAUCUGCCAAUGAUUCAUGUGGUGUUGGAGACCUAUCUGACUUCAGUAUGCUGGUGAGUUUGAUCUGGUAAAAAAGAUACAAGGAUGUUGAAUUCAUUUCUGUUCAUCUCUGUUUUCUGUUGGAGCCAGAAGGAGAAUAUAUUAGAGAUAGAAGAGGGAUGUAUUAGAUGAUAGGAAACAUUAAGCAUGUUGCACAGAAUGUGUAGAAUUGUGUGUGAGCUUUAAAUCCCUGAGCCUUGGCCCCAGACCUGCUUGCCAGAGCUCUGAGAGAUCAGCCAAACAGCAUCAGUGUUCUGUUUUUAUUAUUGUUUCUUAUUAGGAAAAGGAGUUUAAAUUCUGGGUGAUAGCUGUAAAGCUGUCUCUUUGGAAUACCUUUUCAUCCAACGAUGGAUAGGCAGAUAUAGUUAUUACCAUCAGUAGAUGGACUUCAAGAAAAGUGUGAAAUAGUUUUCCCUUUGGGAAAAGCUGGGCCAAGAUUGCUGCUAGUCUUUCAGGUUUCUGUGAUGUAGUAGUGAAGACCCAUACAUUUAGUAUCUGUUUUUCUGAAUCUGUUGACUUAAUUCUUGGGUAUGGGCACUGAAUUAAUGGACACACAUUUUAAAAAAAUAUAUUUUUAAUUUGGGAAUAUGAAUCUGCAAAGCACAAACCAUAAGCUGUAUGGUGUUUAUCACCGUUGAGUAGGCCUUCUGAAAACAAAUUUUGUUGUGCUUGAGGAGGUCUCGUUACUUUUGUAGAGUAGCUUAUGCAUGCUUCCUGAUGCUUGGAGAAAAUUUGGUUGUAUUAAUUUCUAACCUAAGCAAGUUGCUCAAUUCUCCUGAAAAGAAAGCUUGCACUGCCAGAAGAUGACUCCUUUCUUUCUGAGAUGCAACUUUUGUAACUUCUUUAGGCUAGUUGGACUCCAUAGGCUCUCUGGACUCCAACAGCUCCAUGUCUUUCUUGUGCUGGGGCCCAGAUCUCCAGGUGGUACUCCAGGUGAGGUACCUCAGGAGGGCAUAGUAGAAGGAGACAACCACCUCUGUCUCCCUGAUGGCCACCUCUCUUUUGAUGCAGCCCAGGAUACAUUUGGACUUCCAGGCUGCAAUCACACAUUCCUGGCUCAUGUCCAGCUUUGUG
ensembl:lncRNA